UUACAGCCAUAUCACUUUGAAACACCAAUACCCUUAUGACCACCGAAGUAAAGCAUCGUCGUGCCUGGUCAGUACUUAGAUGGGUGACCGCUUGGGAAUACCAGGUGCUGUAA